rnacentral:rRNA from 1 species
UGCCAAAUUCUAGCCCAAUAUACCCAACCCAAAACAACAAAACUGCUACCCAAACCACAACUAAAGCAUUUACUAGUCCCAGUAUAGGCGAUAGAAAAGACACCGUUGGAGCGAUAGAGAUCACGUACCGUAAGGGAAAGAUGAAAUAGUAAUGAACAAAACAAGCUAAAAACAGCAAAGAUCAAACCUUGUACCUUUUGCAUCAUGGUCUAGCAAGAAAAACCAAGCAAAAUGAAUUUAAGUUUGCCACCCCGAAACCCAAGCGAGCUACUUACGAGCAGCUAAUUUGAGCGAACCCGUCUCUGUUGCAAAAGAGUGGGAUGACUUGUUAGUAGAGGUGAAAAGCCAAUCGAGCUGGGUGAUAGCUGGUUGCCUGUGAAACGAAUCUAAGUUCACUCUUAAUUCUACUCCAAGGAAACCGACAAACCCCAAUGAAGCGAAUUAAGGGCAAUUUAAAGGGGGUACAGCUCCUUUAAAAAAGAAUACAAUCUCUACGAGCGGAUAAACAAUCACAACCAAACCCAUUGUGGGCCCUCAAGCAGCCAUCAAUAAAGAGUGCGUUAAAGCUCUAAACCUUAAAAAUCUAAAAACACAGUGACUCCCUCACCACUAACAGGCCAACCUAUCUACCAAUAGGAGAAUUAAUGCUAGAAUGAGUAACCAGGGAAACCCCUCUUAGACGCAAGCUUACAUCAGUACAUUAUUAACAAGCCCCCAGAUACAACAAAUCAAACAAGCACCGUAUUACCCCCCAUUGUUAACCCGACAAAGGAGCGUCCACUAAGAAAGAUUAAAACCUGUAAAAGGAACUAGGCAAACCUAUCAAGGCCCGACUGUUUACCAAAAACAUAGCCUUCAGCAAACCAACAGACAAGUAUUGAAGGUGAUGCCUGCCCGGUGACCUGACGUUUAACGGCCGCGGUAUCCUAACCGUGCAAAGGUAGCGCAAUCAAUUGUCCCGUAAAUCGGGACUUGUAUGAAUGGCUAAACGAGGUCUUAACUGUCUCUUACAGGCAAUCGGUGAAAUUGAUCUCCCUGUGCAAAAGCAGGGAUAAACCCAUAAGACGAGAAGACCCUGUGGAACUUCAAAAACAGCAGCCACCCCAAAACACCACUUUCCCCCCACUCUCGGGCUCACUGACCCACGGGCCACUGGCUUGCAUUUUUUCGGUUGGGGCGACCUUGGAGCAAAACAAAACCUCCAAAUACUGGACCACACCUCUAGACCAAGAGCAACCACUCAACGUGCAAAUAGCACCCAGACCCAAUACAAUUGACCAAUGGACCAAGCUACCCCAGGGAUAACAGCGCAAUCUCCUCCAAGAGUCCAUAUCGACGGGGAGGUUUACGACCUCGAUGUUGGAUCAGGACAUCCUAGUGGUGCAGCCGCUACUAAGGGUUCGUUUGUUCAACGAUUAACAGUCCUACGUGAUCUGAGUUCAGACCGGAGCAAUCCAGGUCGGUUUCUAUCUAUGAUGAACUCUUCCCAGUACGAAAGGAUAGGAAAAGUAAGGCCAAUACUACUGGCAAGCCUUCGCCUUAAGUGGUGAAAUCAACUAAACUACAAAAGGCUAUCAGACCCACCCUACAUCCUAGAAAAGGACCA